UCAUCUUCGGGGGUAGAGCACUGUUUCGGCUAGGGGGUCAUCCCGACUUACCAACCCGAUGCAAACUACGAAUACCGAAGAAUGUUAUCACGGGAGACACACGGCGGGUGCUAACGUCCGUCGUGAAGAGGGAAACAACCCAGACCGCCAGCUAAGGUCCCAAAGUCAUGGUUAAGUGGGAAACGAUGUGGGAAGGCACAGACAGCCAGGAUGUUGGCUUAGAAGCAGCCAUCAUUUAAAGAAAGCGUAAUAGCUCACUGGUCGAGUCGGCCUGCGCGGAAGAUGUAACGGGGCUAAACCAUGCACCGAAGCUGCGGCAGCGACACUAUGUGUUGUUGGGUAGGGGAGCGUUCUGUAAGCCUGCGAAGGUGUGCUGUGAGGCAUGCUGGAGGUAUCAGAAGUGCGAAUGCUGACAUAAGUAACGAUAAAGCGGGUGAAAAGCCCGCUCGCCGGAAGACCAAGGGUUCCUGUCCAACGUUAAUCGGGGCAGGGUGAGUCGACCCCUAAGGCGAGGCCGAAAGGCGUAGUCGAUGGGAAACAGGUUAAUAUUCCUGUACUUGGUGUUACUGCGAAGGGGGGACGGAGAAGGCUAUGUUAGCCGGGCGACGGUUGUCCCGGUUUAAGCAUGUAGGCUGGUU
rnacentral:rRNA from 1 species